rnacentral:rRNA from 1 species
AUGAUGCGCGUGAGCCUCCAUCUCCACAUAGCGCCACUGAACCACGCUGGGAUCGCCGCCAACACCGUCGCCAGAGUAAACGAAAGGGCUGGGACGGUGUUGGUGGGGGGUAGAUGGGGCGACUGUGUGGCAGAGAAAUGGGUAAGGAGUGGCUGGGACAGGGAAACACAGGAGUGGUGGUGGGGAGCGUUCGCGGCGGUAGUCAAUUUCCUCGAACGAAAUAAAAAGCUGACCUGGCUAAUUUCCUCUGUUCUAAGAUUCAUACCUGAAUCCAAUGAUGAAAAGCACGUUCGGCCCAAAAGCUUAAAAUACUGGUCGUUCGGAAGUAAUUGA